rnacentral:rRNA from 1 species
CCCUUAGAUGUUCUGGGCCGCACGCGCGCUACACUGAUGCAUUCAACGAGCCUAGCCUUGACCGAGAGGUCCGGGUAAUCUUUGAAACUGCAUCGUGAUGGGGCUAGAUUAUUGCAAUUAUUAAUCUUCAACGAGGAAUGCCUAGUAAGCGUGAUUCAUCAAAUCGCGUUGAUUACGUCCCUGCCCUUUGUACACACCACCCGUCGCUCCUACCGAUUGAGUGUGUUGGUGAGGAGUUUGGAUUGGCCUCGGAAGGUGGUUCGCCACCGUCCGUAGCUGAGAAGUUCUCCAAACCGCCCCACUUAGAGGAAGGAGAAGUCGUAACA